AAGGAAGUCAUGUUAAGCUUGCCCCAGGGAGAAGGGAUCUUUCUCGGGCUGCAAAUGCUCUCCUGAAGGAUAUGGUGCCAUCUCAACAGUAUGCCCCUGGGCACGUUUCUUCCUUGGAGCUGAGAUCAAAGUGGCUCCAAACCAUUGACAAAAACUUGGUCAUCAGGUAUUCUGAUGUGGUAUAAAGCGUUUCAACCAAACGUGCAGAACAGCAGCCAAGGGCAUGUACAUCACAGGACGAGACGGCCGUGGCAUCUGAAGCUUG